rnacentral:lncRNA from 1 species
AUGUGGCACUUCAUCUUUCUGAUCCUUCCCUCCUCAUCUAUAAGAUGAGGGUUAGAACCUGCAUACUUCAUAAAGUGAUUGUGAACCUGGCAGCACUUCCUUUUCUCCUAUCCUGUGAUUCUCCUGAUCACGACUCAGCAUCCAUUUGGCCGAAGCUGAUUUCCAAAAGCAGGAAUCUGUGGAGUUGGACUGAGGGGAAUGAACCGUGAGGGAGCUCCCGGGAAGAGUCCGGAGGAGAUGUACAUUCAGCAGAAAGUUCGGGUCUUGCUCAUGCUGAGGAAGAUGGGAUCAAAUCUGACAGCCAGUGAGGAAGAAUUCCUGCGGACGUAUGCAGGGGUAGUGAGCAGCCAGCUGAGCCAGCUCCCAUCACACUCCAUCGACCAGGGUGCAGAGGACGUGGUCAUGGCGUUUUCCAGGUCGGAGACAGAAGACAGGCGGCAAUAGCUACAGCGCAACCUGGAACCCACUGGAAGUCAACGAGGGCCAUGCAAGCUCUGGGAAGCUGGCUGCCUGCACCGGUCCCCUGCCCUUCCCUCCUCCCCACUCUUCAUGCCCCUAACUCCCUCUCCCCUGCCCUGGGAAGCACCUCCCAGCCCACUACCCAGCUGGCUGUGUUAGCGAGGGGGAGACCAGUGGUGCACAUGGGAUUGGCUCAAAGGGAUGGACUUUGUAAUUGGCUACAGGGAGAAAUCUUUUUAUUUUUUAAAACCUGACCAAUGGAAACCUUUUCUUUUUAUUUCUGCCUCUUUCACCACCUCAUCCCUUUUCUUGCUGUCUGGGCAUAGAACUUCCCAGGAAGCUCUCCUAUGCCUUGGUGCUUUAUUUAGGUCAUUUUUAGCAAUGUGAAAAGGUUUUGAUUGGCUGCCUAAAACUGGAAACAACUCUUGAUUGGCUGGUGAAAAGAAAACGCUUCUCUCUUUGAUUGGUUUCAGGUAUUCUGCUGAUCUCAACAGCUUGAUUCUAAGUAAAGAGAAUAGGGGUUGGGGCAUUGGCUGUUACAUUUGACUUGAAAAAAAAAAUACAAAACUAAGUGUGCUUUGCGAUAUUUAUUACACAAAGAGCUGCUGCUGCUUUUAAAUUUUAUUUUUGAAUUCGAUUGGCUUAUGGUCGAUGUGUUUGUUUUCCUGCUGGCUCUAGUGGCCAUAGAUUUACCCCCAAAAAACUACAUCCACAAAACCCUACCACCUCUGCUGCUUGAAAUCUCUGGUCCCAGGGGAAGCCAACUCAAGAAUCUAUUUACAUUAAUAAUUACACCUGCCCUCCCUGGAGCUGGAAAUAUAAAAGGCUCCUGGGCGAGGCCACAGCUGCAAACCAGGACCCAGGACAGACUGGAUAUCAGCUCUGUAAGAGUCAGAGUUAAGCGGUCACCAAGAGCUGAGGUGUGUGAGUGUGUGCCCGUGUGCCCGUGUCAUGUACAUGCACACACUCACACGUGCCACCCGCCACUCUUUGUAGGGUUAUGAUGUUGCUGGAAAAAAUACAGGGCCCCCCUGCCCCUAAAACCUUGUUUGUUCUGCAGCCUGAAAGCUUCUGGCUUGGAGGGAGCUUCUCUGUCCUUGUUUAGAGACUGCUGCUGCUUCUAAGUAGGGAAAAAGAAGCCCCAGGAGGCCCCUAGGCCCUUCCCUCAGGCACUUGGGAGGAGAUGGGGCUCAACUCACAGGUCCUGAGGAUGCCUUUGUGCACCCCCUUUUCUUUCCCCUCCCGUGGGUUUCUACUGCCCCAACCUACACUGACCAUCUUGCAGUCCCGAGUGUCCUCCUCCCACUCACCCCCCACAGUUCUCCCAGCCCCUUUUAAAAGCCUACAUGUUGAAAAGAAAGUCAUCAACCAUAAUUGCCAAACGUUCUGCCAGCUGGGGAGGGCCAGUCUGGCAGGCCCCUACCAAGGCCUUCUCCUAGCUUGGCAGGUAGGGCCGGCCUCAGCUCCCAUUUGUUAAUUCUCCACCUGGGCCCCUGAGCCAGGGGCUGGGGUGGAGGAAGCAGGGAAUCCUUAGUGCCAAAUCCCUGCAGGCAGUGUCAAAACAGAAGCUCCCACCCACCCUUCCCUCCCUCGAGGGGCCCCUGCACCCCCAUCUCUCCUGCCUGCCUUCCCGUGGCAUGCACAGGACUGUACUUUGAAGCAGGUAAACAGGAAACGUUGCCACGUUCAUAUGAAGCUUUUCUUGGGAAAGAGGAAAUCUUAUCUCUGUUCCCAAACAAACCCCAAGUUUUUAAUAAGGGGUCUAGCUCUAACCCUGUGCCCAGGGAGUGGAUGAGACUUUCUGAGCCAAACAGGACUUACUGCCCAAGGGCUUGGGGCCAACCGACAGCCACCAAGGCAUGAGGGGGCAGUUGCAGAGUGCCAACGGUUUAAUGACCUCCAGCAUGUGCAGAAAGGGCCCUCGGAGCAUUCUGCUGCCUGUGACCAAUUAGGAGUGCUAAUGAGGUCGCCUGAUCUGCCGUCCCAAUUCCUUUAAGGUUAGUUAGUCUGUACAAUAUAAACCUUCACAGCCACACCAAACAGCCCCCAGACCCAGCCAGGCUGCCUGGCCAUGUUGCCAAUGGCUGGUGGACAAAGGACCCAGCAGGGAGGAGAUGGUGGGGGUGUCCCAUAAGGCUGGGCACCCCUCCCUUUGGUGGAUACCUUGGUAGUGGGUCCGUAGCAAUGUCUUCCCUACAAAGGACCAGCCCCCAACUCCAGUGUCAUCAGCCGGAGUCCCAAUCGUUGGGCAAAAGGUGAACAACAGCCCCUGACACCCCGGGGUCCCCGUCCUGGCUUCUGUCACGGUGUUGCCCGCUGUGCUCCUGGCCAGCCUGCAGCGCCCAUCGAGGGUCCGAGCCCAGGUGGCGUAGCCAUGUGUUUGUCUGCGGCCCCAGGCCUGUCAAGCUAACAUGCAUCUCUCUUGUGUCCCCGAUGAUAACUCUGACCUGUCUAUCUUCUGAAGAAGAAAAGUGAAAGUGUUUCUGUGGUUUAAUCUUUUAACUAAAAAUGUAACUCUUGGGGAAAAAAUAACAAUAAAGGUUUUUAAUAGCUUGUCAUGGA